rnacentral:SRP_RNA from 2 species
GCUGGGUGUGGUGGCGGGCACUUGUAAUCCCAGAUGCUCAGGAAGCUGAGGCAGGGGAAUCACUUGAACCCGGGAGGCACAGGUUGCAGUGAGUCGAGAUUGUACCGCUGCACUCCAGCCUGGGUAACAGAGUGAGACUCUGUCUCAA